rnacentral:rRNA from 1 species
AUUGAACGCUGGCGGCAGGCCUAACACAUGCAAGUCGAGCGGAUGAAGGGAGCUUGCUCCUGGAUUCAGCGGCGGACGGGUGAGUAAUGCCUAGGAAUCUGCCUGGUAGUGGGGGAUAACGUCCGGAAACGGGCGCUAAUACCGCAUACGUCCUGAGGGAGAAAGUGGGGGAUCUUCGGACCUCACGCUAUCAGAUGAGCCUAGGUCGGAUUAGCUAGUUGGUGGGGUAAAGGCCUACCAAGGCGACGAUCCGUAACUGGUCUGAGAGGAUGAUCAGUCACACUGGAACUGAGACACGGUCCAGACGCCUACGGGAGGCAGCAGUGGGGAAUAUUGGACAAUGGGCGAAAGCCUGAUACAGCCAUGCCGCGUGUGUGAAGAAGGUCUUCGGAUUGUAAAGAACUUUAAGUUGGGAGGAGGGGCAGUAAGUUAAUACCUUGCUGCUUUGACGUUACCAACAGAAUAAGCACCGGCUAACUUCGUG